CAGGCUUAACACAUGCAAGUCGAGGGGCAUCAGGAAGAAAGCUUGCUUUCUUUGCUGGCGACCGGCGCACGGGUGAGUAACACGUAUCCAACCUGCCCUUUACUCGGGGAUAGCCUUUCGAAAGAAAGAUUAAUACCCGAUAGCAUAAUGAUUCCGCAUGGUUUCAUUAUUAAAGGAUUCCGGUAAAGGAUGGGGAUGCGUUCCAUUAGGUUGUUGGUGAGGUAACGGCCCACCAAGCCUUCGAUGGAUAGGGGUUCUGAGAGGAAGGUCCCCCACAUUGGAACUGAGACACGGUCCAAACUCCUACGGGAGGCAGCAGUGAGGAAUAUUGGUCAAUGGGCGCUAGCCUGAACCAGCCAAGUAGCGUGAAGGAUGAAGGCUCUAUGGGUCGUAAACUUCUUUUAUAUAAGAAUAAAGUGCAGUACGUAUACUGUUUUGUAUGUAUUAUAUGAAUAAGGAUCGGCUAACUCCGUGCCAGCAGCCGCGGUAAUACGGAGGAUCCGAGCGUUAUCCGGAUUUAUUGGGUUUAAAGGGAGCGUAGGUGGACUGGUAAGUCAGUUGUGAAAGUUUGCGGCUCAACCGUAAAAUUGCAGUUGAUACUGUCAGUCUUGAGUACAGUAGAGGUGGGCGGAAUUCGUGGUGUAGCGGUGAAAUGCUUAGAUAUCACGAAGAACUCCGAUUGCGAAGGCAGCUCACUGGACUGCAACUGACACUGAUGCUCGAAAGUGUGGGUAUCAAACAGGAUUAGAUACCCUGGUAGUCCACACAGUAAACGAUGAAUACUCGCUGUUUGCGAUAUACAGUAAGCGGCCAAGCGAAAGCAUUAAGUAUUCCACCUGGGGAGUACGCCGGCAACGGUGAAACUCAAAGGAAUUGACGGGGGCCCGCACAAGCGGAGGAACAUGUGGUUUAAUUCGAUGAUACGCGAGGAACCUUACCCGGGCUUAAAUUGCAGUGGAAUGAUGUGGAAACAUGUCAGUGAGCAAUCACCGCUGUGAAGGUGCUGCAUGGUUGUCGUCAGCUCGUGCCGUGAGGUGUCGGCUUAAGUGCCAUAACGAGCGCAACCCUUAUCUUUAGUUACUAACAGGUUAUGCUGAGGACUCUGGAGAGACUGCCGUCGUAAGAUGUGAGGAAGGUGGGGAUGACGUCAAAUCAGCACGGCCCUUACGUCCGGGGCUACACACGUGUUACAAUGGGGGGUACAGAAGGCAGCUAGCGGGUGACCGUAUGCUAAUCCCAUAAGCCUCUCUCAGUUCGGAUCGAAGUCUGCAACCCGACUUCGUGAAGCUGGAUUCGCUAGUAAUCGCGCAUCAGCCACGGCGCGGUGAAUACGUUCCCGGGCCUUGUACACACCGCCCGUCAAGCCAUGGGAGCCGGGGGUACCUGAAGUACGUAACCGCAAGGAUCGUCCUAGGGUAAAACUGGUGACUGGGGCUAAGUC
rnacentral:rRNA from 1 species